GCCUCGUUAGCGCAGUAGGCGGUGCGUCAGUCUCAUAAUCUGAUUUAGAAAUAUGAAGGUCGUGAGUUCGAUCCUCACACGGGGCA
rfam:Nematostella vectensis strain CH2 x CH6 NEMVEscaffold_1155_Cont35193, whole genome shotgun sequence.